rnacentral:misc_RNA from 1 species
UUGCGGCUGGAUCACCUCCUUUCUAAGGAUGAACCUCAAUGGAAACGCUUCCUUGUGAAGCCUCUGCCUUCUGGUUCACUUGGAACAAGACGGAAGAGAGUCACUCUUCACGUCGUGCAUACCUUAGCGGGAUCUGCCGCCUUCGUUUCUCUUUCUUCGCGAAUGACCAACCCGUGCCCUACGGCGCGCCGGCGGAGCCGGUGAUGCUANCUGGGUGUGGUGGGGGGCCUUGUAUCUCACUUGGUUACAGCGCGCGCUUGAUAAGCGUGAGGUCGGAGGUUCAAGUCCUCCCAGGCCCACCAUUCCUCUUGAGAGGUAUCAGGCGCCGUANCUCANCUGGGAGAGCACCUGCUUUGCAAGCAGGGGGUCGUCGGUUCAA